rnacentral:rRNA from 1 species
AUGAACGCUGGCGGCGUGCUUAACACAUGCAAGUCGAACGAGAAAGUCCUUCGGGAUGAGUACAGUGGCAGACGGGUGAGUAACGCGUAAGUAUCUACCCCUUAAUGAGGAAUAACUUCGAGAAAUUGAAGGUAAUACCGCAUAAGUCCUAUGGGAGAAAGGUGGCCUCAAGCUGCCGUUAAGGGAUGAGCUUGCGUACUAUUAGCUAGUUGGUGGGGUAAAGGCCUACCAAGGCGAUGAUGGUUAGCCGACCUGAGAGGGUGAACGGCCACAUUGGAACUUAGACACGGUCCAGACUCCUACGGGAGGCAGCAGUGAGGAAUAUUGCGCAAUGGACGAAAGUCUGACGCAGCGACGCCGCGUGGAGGAUGACGGUCUUAGGAUUGUAAACUCCUGUUAAGUGGGAAGAAAAUAGCAUCCCUAAUAUGGAUGUGAAAUGACGGUACCACUAGAGAAAGCACCGGCUAACUUCGU